rnacentral:lncRNA from 1 species
CCUCAACAUCAACUCCUGCCCACGGUUCCUGCCAACUACUCAAAUAUUGACACCAUCGUCACUCACAUAGGUUUUAAUGACCUUCGUUUUAGGCGAUCUGAGGAACUGAGGGAGGACUACAAACAUGUUUUACACCCUCGCUAGCACAGGGAAGAUAAUAAUAAUCUCUGACCCCCUCCCAUGUUACCGAAGGGGUUUGGAAUGUUUCAGCCGACUCUUUGCCCUGAACGAGUACCUGAAGAAACUUUGCAACUGACGGACAGAGUCGGUAGUGCUCCAGUUCUCCCUGUCAGAAUAAGCAACAGAGGACUUGGAAACCAUAUCAACUCCUGUAGAAAUGGCACUGUAUUUCCAUUGUGGAAAGAGCCCUCGUGAUUGGUGCCUACUCUGGGAGAGAGAUGGAUUUUUGAGAGGAGGAGGAGGAGUGGAGAUGGAGUCAUUCAAAGGUGGCGGUGCCUGGGGAGCAGGAGAGAUGGGGAGAUGUUAGGGACUCCAUAAAAUCUCAUUAUUGACAGGGAGUUACAUUGGGAGCGCUACAGGAGGACUGGCAGACAUGACAACAGUGACAAGGUUUAAUGUGUUGCAUAGGGUAUUGGGGAAAACAGCAAAUGUCAUCCCAUGUGAAUUUGAUAACCCUCUACACACCAUGUUCACCACUUUCACAAUCAGUUAUUAGUUGCAGUGAGCUGCAGCUGGGGUUUUAAUCCUUAGACUAUAACACCUGGCCUCAUGGUAUUCUGUCACUGCAUGAAUUAUCUGAUGUAGUAGUGAUGUGCAAUGUUUAAUGGGCAAUGUUUAUCCAAUGUUCAGACAAUUUUCAAUAC